CAGUAGCCGCGGUAAUACGUAGGUCCCGAGCGUUGUCCGGAUUUAUUGGGCGUAAAGGGCUCGCAGGCGGUUUCUUAAGUCUGAUGUGAAAGCCCCCGGCUCAACCGGGGAGGGUCAUUGGAAACUGGGAAACUUGAGUGCAGAAGAGGAGAGUGGAAUUCCACGUGUAGCGGUGAAAUGCGUAGAGAUGUGGAGGAACACCAGUGGCGAAGGCGACUCUCUGGUCUGUAACUGACGCUGAGGAGCGAAAGCGUGGGGAGCGAACAGGAUUAGAUACCCGUGUAGUCCCUGUCUCUUAUAC
rnacentral:rRNA from 1 species